rnacentral:misc_RNA from 1 species
AAAGUCGUAACAAGGUUUCCGUAGGUGAACCUGCGGAAGGAUCAUUACCAAAUCCAAAUACCCAACCCCAUGUGAAUUAUUGUAUAGUCUGUCUUUGGGAGAAAAAGAAAGAGAAAUCUGGACUUUUCUCCCAAUAGAGUCCGGCACAACUUUAUUGUUGUGUCCAGAUUCGAAACCCUUUAAACCACUUGAUUUUUCUGUUGGAAUUACUUUUAUUAAUUUUAAAUAAAAGACAACUUUUAACGGCGGAUCUCUUGGCUCGU